GCCAAUGGGAUUAGCGGCACCAAAGGUGCCAAAACCAUUGGCGCACCAAUGGUGCCAAUACCAUUGGCGGCACCAGUUAAUAAUAGGGGGGGUCGGUGGUGGGGGGCAGAAAGAGAGGGAAAGAAAGAAAGAAAGAGAGAAAGAAAGGAGAGGGAAGAAAGAAAAAGAAGGAAAGAAAGGGAAAGGAGAAGAGAAAAAAAGAAAGAAAGAAGAAGAAGAGAAGGAAAAGAGAAGAAAAAAGAAAGAAAGAAGGAAAGAAAAGGAAAGGAGAAGAGAAAAAAAAAAGAAGAAGAGGGAAGGAAGGAAAAAAA
rnacentral:lncRNA from 1 species